GGCCUUACAGAGCGCCCUCACGGUUUCCCCUAUGACCAUGCUCUGCGCUCUGCGUCACCUCCGUGCCACAGCCAGAACUACUGCAGGCGGAAGCAGUGGGAGAUUGACACCGCCCCCACCCCCUCCCUUCCAGUCAGCAACGCGGUGGCUACGUGACGCACAGAAUCACUCAGCACAGAAGGCAGACGUGGGAGCUGGAAAAUGGCCGCCUGGCCUGGGAGCUCAGCUGCCCCAGGGAGCCAUCGCUGGAGCCAAGGACAAGCCCUACUGUAGCAGAAGUGAUUUCAACCAGACUCCACAUGGAUGAGACCCUGCAGAGCUCAGUCCCUCCUUGCAGAAGACAUUGUCGUACAGGACCUAAUGAUCUUGAACAGGAGAAGGAUCCUGAACAUCCUAGGGUGUUUCGAAGUUAUAGCAGCUCCAGCCUGGACAAAAAAAGUGUCUUAGCAAGGAGACACACACAGCAAAAGCAGAACUAUGAUUUCUAUUCAAAUUCUGUCCACAAGUUCCCUCCCUGGUUUCCUCAUUGGUAGGGUUCUCCAAGGUUUAAAGCCUAUUGAGUGCUUAUAAUAUAUAUGCUAACUGUCCCACCUCUGUUUACACCUCCCCUUACUCGACUUUGUACGCUCCUUCCUCUUAUUUAUUAACCACAUCGUUAUUAACCACAUAAUCCUAUUCCGGUUCGAUUUCAUAACUCCCUGGCAGACAUGCUGUACCCAAAACAUACUAUUUAACCGGCUUGCACUGGCUCUGUUUGUACAUGGAGAAUAUUCUAUAUAACCACAGUGAGUAUCUUUUGUCUAGAGAUGACAAUGGCUUUAAUCACAGUGUGUCUUUUGGAGUUACUGGAACUCAAACCUUUUGUUUUGUUCCCUCAAUAACUUAGCCCCAGCCCCAGUAUUGAAACCUCUUAAUAUUGCAAAGCCUUAAUAAUUGAUCUUACAGCUCUAAUAUUGGAAAGCCUUAAUAUUGCAAAGCCCCAUUCCCGGUUAUGGGAAAACAACACCGUUUCUCUCACAAUUCCCCCUUCCUCUUACUUAUACUAGUUUUGGUUUUCACACUUUCUUUAAAGAAUUGCCCCAUAUGUCACUUCCAGUCUGGAUAACAUUAUGUCAUGUUUUUGAUCUAAAGAUAAGUUGUUCCAGUCAUCUUAAUUAUUUUUUUUUCUCUAAAGCAUUUUAUCAGAGUAGAGUGGUGGCCCCAUGAGCAUCUGUUUGGACCGUGCUGUUUCAAGACGAUGUUGUACAGGUCUCUCUAUAUACGGAAUUAUGUAGCACCUAAUAGCUGUUAAUACACCUGCUACUACAAUUAGAGAAGUAAAAACUGAUAUCACCAUUCCUCUCCAUUUUCCACACCAGGAUCCCAACCAUCCUGUUAAUGAAAUAUCUGUUCUCGAAUUUUCAGCCAAUUCUUCUACCAAGGUAGUGAGGCCUUGUAAGGCUCUGGUUAGGGUUCCAUCUGGUCUUGUAUUAUUUGGAAUAAAUGUGCAACACGUAUUCCCUAGCAUCAUGCAUACUCCUCCUUUUUCUGCUAAUGUAUCCAAAGCUAUUCUAUUUUCACUGCAUAUUCGACCCAUUCUACUCAGGCAUUUGUAUUUCGAUAUCCUGUUUUUCAAACUAUUUUCAAAUCUAUUUCAAACAUCUGCUUCCAAUAUGUAAUUGUAUUUACAUUCACUAUCUUAAGAUUCUUUGGUGGAGUCCAUGUUCCCACCGAUGCAGGAAUGGUAGUGUCCCCAGGCUGGCCACAUUUGUUCCUCUUUGGCUCCCAAGCCACUAUUCCAAAUCUAGCAACUGAAUCCCCUCUUGUCACAUCUGCCCCCAGGCCAUGAAUUUGGCUUAUUUCCCCUCCAGCACCUGUAGUAGCAAGUGCAGUAGCAUGUGCCCAGGACAACACUCUUACUCCCCACAUUCAGACUCUAUUUUACCUUUAAACAUCAUCAUUUUAAUUUUUAAAGAUUUUCCCUAAGCAAAGGUUUAGGCUCAUAGGCUGUACAUAGAUAGUAUUCUUUUUAACCACAGAGUGUAUCUUUCACCUAGAGAUGACAAUGUAUUUAACCACAGAGCGUGUCUUUUUGAAUAACUAUAUCUCAGACCCUUUCUUUCCUUGCCUUACGAACUUAAUCACAGACCUACUAUUGAAAACUCUUAUUAUUGCAAAGCCUUACUAUUGAACUUAAAGCUCUAAGAUUGGAAAGUCUUAAUAUUGUUAAGCCCCAUCCCCAUUUAUGCCAAAACAACACUGUUUCUCUCACAGCUGGAAAUAACUGGAAACACCACCACACUGGCCAGACCAUCUGCCCGGAGAACCUACAAACAGGAUCAACAGCAUCUAGUGAUGUAGCCGUCAACUGUGGCAUAAUCAGGCUCACCUGAAAGAGAAAGCACAAAAUAAUUAGGUCUGCUUAUGAGAAAUGCUCAUUACAAGAUUCUGCACAGGACGGAAACACUGGCCACCUGUGUUAAAGGGAUGGAAGGCAAUGGUGGAUGAGGCUGAAAGAGAUGUCUUGAUUCUAUGAUUCUAUGGUUUGCUGAAAAACCAAGGCCUUUCACCAAGUUCCAUCACUAAAGUGUCACUACAAAUUAUAUAGCUCAUGGUGUUGAAUCAGGCAAAGGGCCAAACUGCAGAGACUGGGGGGAUCCCAAGUUUGGACAUCAUUAAGCUCCAGAUAUGACUAUACUCAGGGCUUUGAUCAGAACUUCUCCUUAGUGAAACCUUGCCUCCAGAGUCAGACUCCAGCUUCCCAGGUUCUUUCAGGGGGGACAGGACUUCUCCUAAACCAUUCUCUUUAGAGAGCUAAAGCUCAUGAUCUGAUGGGGAAGAGCAAAAGCAGAGAGACCUGAUACCAAGGAACAUCAUAGUGGGGUAACAUGAAGCCAGAGGGCACUGCGGAAAUAGUUGAUUUGCUUGCACUCCUGGGUCUCAAAGAACUGAAAUGACACAGACAAAACAGCCCUAACAUCUGUGAGAAGAGAGCAAAUCUCCUCUAUUCUGAUCUCUUCUCAUCCCACUACAAAGAUCUCUGUCCACAGCAAGGAGCAGGUGAUGUUGGUCUUCUGCAGGAAACAUGGUAACUAACCAUGAGUCAUAGAAUCAUAGAACCAACUAGGUUGCAAAACACCUGGUCCAGAGAAGAAGUCAUCCCUUUGCACACCCAUGUACUUCAAAGAUGAGCAUUAAGCUCUGGAAGGUCUGCAGGGCCAAUGUGGAAGGGGUCACUCAGUACACCAGUACCUCUGGGGAGAUGAAGCCAGCUUCCUAAGGGCACUGCAUGUUCCUUGGUACCCCACCCAUGGUCCUGCAGUCCCAGCUGACUUCUCUCCCUCAACUAUUGUGCAAUAAAAAAGCUCUGGGGAUCUAUGAAA